AGUGAACGCUGGCGGCGUGCUUAACACAUGCAAGUCGAGCGGUAAGGCCCUUUCGGGGGUACACGAGCGGCGAACGGGUGAGUAACACGUGGGUGACCUGCCCUCAGCUCUGGGAUAAGCCUGGGAAACCGGGUCUAAUACCGGAUAUGACUCCACGGCGCAUGUUGUGGGGUGGAAAGCCUUGUGUGGCUAGAGAUGGGCCCGCGGCCUAUCAGCUUGUUGGUGGGGGAUGGCCUACCAAGGCGACGACGGGUAGCCGGCCUGAGAGGGCGACCGGCCACACUGGGACUGAGACACGGCCCAGACUCCUACGGGAGGCAGCAGUGGGGAAUCUUGCGCAAUGGGCGAAAGCCUGACGCAAGCGACGCCGCGUGAGGGAUGACGGCCUGGUGUAAC
rnacentral:rRNA from 1 species